rnacentral:rRNA from 1 species
AGGUAACCUACCCUUCGGACGGGCACAACCCCGGGAAACUGGGGCUAAUUCCCGAUAGGUACCCCCUUCUGGAAUGUGGGGAUAUCCAAAGCUCCGGCGCCGAAGGAUGGGCCUGCGGCCGAUUAGGUUGUUGGCGGGGUAACAACCCACCAAGCCGACGAUCGGUACGGGCAGUGAGAGCUGUAGCCCGGAGAUGGGGACUGAGACAAGGCCCCAGGCCCUACGGGGCGCAGCAGGCGCGAAACCUUCACAAUGCACGAAAGUGUGAUGAGGGUACUCCGAGUGCGCAUACAUUGUAUGUGCUUUUCUGCAGCGUAAAUAGUUGCAGGAAUAAGGGCUGGGCAAGACCGGUGCCAGCCGCCGCGGUAACACCGGCAGCCCUAGUGGUGGCCGCUUUUAUUGGGCCUAAAGCGUCCGUAGCCGGACAGGCGAGUCUUUGGGUAAAUCCUACGUCUUAAGCGUGGGAAUUCUAAAGAUACUACCUGUCUUGAGGCCGGGAGAGGCUGGAGGUACUCCUGGGGUAGGGGUAAAAUCCUAUAAUCCUGGGGGGACCACCGAUGGCGAAGGCAUCCAGCUGGAACGGGCCUGACGGUGAGGGACGAAACCCAGGGGAGCGAGCCGGAUUAGAUACCCGGGUAGUCCUGGGCGUAAAUGAUGUGGGCUUGGUGUGAGCGCAUCGACGAGGUGCGCUUGUGCCGUAGGGAAGCCGUUAAGCCCACCGCCUGGGGAGUACGGUCGCAAGGUUGAAACU